rnacentral:snoRNA from 1 species
ACAUAGUGAUGAAUUUAUGGCAGACCCUUCUCUGUGGGCCUCUCAGAGUAUACCUAUACCAGAGUGAAAUGUAGCCUCAAACCAUUGCCCAGUCUUCUUGCUUGUGGGCUGUGAGCAAUGAAGGUUAUACAAUU